rnacentral:rRNA from 1 species
ACUGCUCUACGGAGUUGUACCAUACGUUUCGAAUAACGUGCCAGGGAGUUCAUCUGAGUGGCAAGGGUAAUCUGUAAGAGGACCCAAAGCGAAAGCAACAUGCUCGCAGCUUGCAAGGAGCGUGGUAUGAAAAUGCCAGGAGUCACUUGGAUGUAACCCGAAGCCGGACGAUCUAACCCUGAGUAAGGUGAAGUAACUGUAAAAGGUUAUGGAGGCCUGAAGAGGUUCUACGAGCAAGUGUUCUUCUAACUUGGGGUUAGGGGUGAAAAGCCAAUCGAGUCCGGCAAUAGCUGGUUCCUACCGAAGUUGGCCGUAGUCAAGCCUUAGAGGAAAUAGCUAGAGUAGUAGAGCUACGGGUUGAAGAUUUAGGUCCCGAAAGGGAUCGAUUUUCUGUCCAACUCCGAACAUUCUAGCAUUACAGAAUCUAAGAGACGGGAAGCCGGGGUAAGCCCGGUUUCCGAGAGGGGAACAACCCAGACUAUAGUUAAGGUCCCUAAUACUGACUAAGUGUGAAAGGGUGAAAAGUGUCUAUCGUCGAAGACAGCAAGGAGGUUGGCUUAGAAGCAGCCAUCCUUUAAAAAGUGCGUAACAGCUUACUCGUCAAGAUGAUAGGCCUUUAAAAUGGACGGGACUAAGUCAGUUACCGAUACUAUAGAAUGCUUAAAAAGCAAUUAGUAGGUAGGCGUCCUAUAAGGGCAGAAGUAUUUUCACAAGAGAAUAUGGACCUUAUAGAAAUGAGAAUCCUGGCGGUAGUAGGAUCUUAGUACUGUAAGAAUCAGUACCACUGAAAGGGCAAGGGUUCCUUGGCAAUGCAAAUCAGCCAAGGGUUAGUCGAACCUAACCAAAUCCAUAAAUUGGACUAUGGGAAAAGGAUAAAGGUUAAUAUUCCUUUACUAUUCAAGUAUACGUGGCAACACAAGCUUUAUUUCUGACAUUUCUGAUUAGGCUAACAUUGUUUGUCUACAAUGUCAACUAGAAUAAAUCAGGGGAGUAUCGUAAUGAUGAGAACCUGAUUAAAUCUAGGACGAGCGUUCUUAUGGGACGUUUAGCCGAUAUCUGGAAUCCGUGAAAAGGGAGUAGAGAAAAAACUUGAAUAUUCGUACCAAGAACCAGCACAGGUGCCCCUAGGUGAGAAGCCUAAAGUGUGAAGGAUUAAUCUAGUUGAGGGAAUUCGGCAAAUUAGCCCCGUGCCUUCGGUAAAAGGGGUCCCUGCAAUUGUUGCUUAGCAAUUGAUUGCAGGGUGCAAUGACUAAGGGGGUCCGACUGUUUAACAAAAACUUAACUGACUGCCAGCCUGUAAAGGUGUGUAUAGUCAGUGACACCUGCCCAGUGUCUGUACUUUAAACUUCCGUCCAAGGAAGCUAAGAGCAGGUAAACGGCGGGGGUAACUAUAACUCUCUUAAGGUAACGUAAUACCUUGUCGUUUGAUUGACGACUUGCAUGAAUGGUGUAACGAGAUCUCCACUGUCCCCAACUAGAAUCCUCCGAACACUCCAUACUGGUGCAAAGGCCAGUGAUCUCCAGUGGGAAGCGAAGACCCCGUGAAACUUUACUACAACUUAUUGUUGCGAUGUGGGUUUUGAUGUGUAGUGUAGGUGGAAGUCGCUAAAGCUUGGUCGUCAGGUCAAGUGUAGACAACAAUGAAACACCACUCUUCAAAACCUACGUUGCUAAUCUCGUAAGAGAAACAGCGAUAGGUGGGUAGUUUGGCUGGGGUGGCACCCUGUUGAAACAAUAUCAACAGGACCCUAAGGUUGGCUCAAGCGGGUCAGAAAUCCGCAGUAGAGUGCAAGAGCAAAAGCCAGCCUGACUGUAUCCUUAAUAAGAUGGGAUGCAGGCAUGAAAAUGUGGUCUAGCGAACCUCUAUGUCCUCCUUGAUGGGGGCUAGAGAUGAACGAAAAGUUACUCCGGGGAUAACAGAGUUGUCGCGCCUGAGAGUUCAUAUCGACGGCGCGG